UCCCGGUUAACCCGGGCAGUCUCACUAGAGUUCCCACCUUUACGUGUUGGCAAAUAGUGAUAAGGGUUGCGCUCGUUGCGGGACUUAACCCAACACCUCACGGCACGAGCUGACGACAGCCAUGCAGCACCUGUGCAAAGGCCCCGAAGGGCGGCUGCAUCUCUGCAGCAUUCCUUUGCAUGUCAAGCCUGGGUAAGGUUCUUCGCGUUGCAUCGAAUUAAACCACAUGCUCCACUGCUUGUGCGGGUCCCCGUCAAUUCUUUUGAGUUUCAGCCUUGCGACUGUACUCCCCAGGCGGUAUACUUAACGCGUUAGCUCCGGCACAGCUAGGGUUGAGUCCAGCUACACCAAGUAUACAUCGUUUACGGCAAGGACUAC
rnacentral:misc_RNA from 1 species